ensembl:snoRNA Small nucleolar RNA R38
UUGUGCUAGUGAUGAUACAAGUUAUCCCUGUCUGAACAUGACUGUGUGGAGAUACGGUAACCUGAGGCAAUU